rnacentral:lncRNA from 1 species
AAUAAUUCCUAAUAUUAUCCUUAGUUUCAACCCUAAAAUUGCUUCCUCUAUUCCUUCACGCACUUCUCCUCUCCUCCCACUUUGGCAGCUUUCCCUCUCUUUCCUCUAUCUCUUCAUCCCUUCCCUCCUCUGCCUCCAUAGACGCACCACUUGUUAGCGAUUACCAUUGCACCCAAGGUAUGCUAUGUCCCCUCUCUAUCAACUUAAUCCCUUAAUCUCCAUCUCAUGGCUCUCCUCUCCACUCCCCUGCACCACUCUCAA